rnacentral:rRNA from 1 species
CCUACGGGAGGCAGCAGUGGGGAAUAUUGCACAAUGGGGGAAACCCUGAUGCAGAGACGCCGCGUGGGUGCCCAAGUAUUUCGGUAUGUAAAGCCCUAUCAGCAGGGAAGAAGCUAACAUUACCUGACUAAGAAGCCCCGGCUAAAUACGUUCCAGCAGCCGCGGUGAUACGUAGGGGGCAAGAGUUAUCCGGAUUUACUGGGGGUAAAGGGAGCGGAGGUGGCAUGGCAAGCCAGAAGUGAAAACCCGGGGCUGAACCCCGCGGAUUGAUUUUGGAACUGGAAGGCUGGAGUGCAGGAGGGGCAGUCGGAAUUCCUGGUGUAGCGGUGAAAUGCGUAGAUAUCAGGAGGAACACCGGUGGCGAAGGCGGCCUGCUGGACUGUAACUGACACUGAGGCGCGAAAGCGUGGGGAGCAAACAGGAUUAGAUACCCCUGUAGUC